UCUCCUGUAGCUCAGUGGUAGAUGCGUCCGACCGGUGUGCGGAAGGUCAAUCAUAGGUUCGACUCUUGUUGGGGGAA